GGCAGCACCGUCGCGUCGACGACGAAGGUGGUGACUGCGGCGGCGAGCGGCGCGAGUUGGUGGCUGCGGGACUCGGCGGCACGGCUCUCGUCAGCGGCGACAGAGGCGGUUGUUAGGCGAGCCGAGCGUGCCUCCUCCCCGUCCGCAAAAUCGCAUCCCUUUAACGCGUUCCAUUUCGAACAGCCGGCGCAUCAACGUUGUCGGUCCGUCGCCUGAUUCCGACUAAUCCAGCUUCUUUUGGUCUAGCUGGGCAUUAUUUUGAGUUCAUAUAUGUCUUGUCACUCCAUAGGUUAUAGUGAUUCCCUCUGUUUCCUUAUAUGUUCUUGUAGUUUGGUUGCUUUCCUGUUCAUGCAUGUUUGUACAGCUAUAUAUAGUUUUGCUGUGAAUCUGUCGUGCAUGUAUUGAAAUGCAGGAAAUGUUGAAUACAUGUUCACUCUCAGCUGGGAUAUUGAAUUGUACAUAGUUAUGUGAUUUAUUCAUGUCUGCUUCUUAUCUUAUUAAGUGAUUAUCUUUAUGUCCUUGCUACCAGUAGGAUGGUCAAUAGCUUGUUUUGUAGUUCUCUACUUUAUGCAAAUAGCUUCCUGUAGCAUUGUUCUACUAUCUGUGUGAUGCUGAACAAUAUGCUCUUAAUCUGUUGCUAUAUUCUCACCAAAUGCAUAGUUUUUUUCUUAGACCUACUGUUAAACAAAAUAUUAACUUGUAUCAUUUUUUUCUUAACAAUAAGCAUAGAAUUCCUGACUCUUAUGUUAUAUGAUCAGCUUACUCCUGCUUCAACAACUGUACUAAUUCCUGACUGUUGUAUGUAAGGAGUAAAAUAGUUUACUUGAGUGAUAUCCACUGGUUCACUAUCUUAAAGCACCUUUUUAGCAUUGUGGGCUGCUAAUAGUAUUUUAGACUUACCAUAUCCUCUCUGGCGCGAUGGCAGGAGUGCAUGAUAGACUACUAAAUGGACAAGUAUCUGCAACGUUCAGCGUCGAAGAUGAUGCUUACCAGAUGUUCUACUACAACCCCAUCCAUAUCAUCGACAUGAAGUUAGAUUUUGGCAUUCAUUCGUCAAAAGUUGGUGUACAAGGAACUCCAGGAGAAGAAUCUUUAAGUAAAUAAUUUAUAUAGAUCAGGAUCUUAUGUUGUCGAGGUGGCUGCUGUUGUGACCAAAGAUCAGCCUGGAGAUGUGCAUCAUAGUUUUAGUUGAUGUUGCCACCAUGUUUUGGUGCCUGUGUAUUUGAUUGUAUGUACACUUGAUGGACCGUGUAGUCGUGUACGUGCUGUUUGAGUUUCAUUUAGUGAUUUCUGGAUUUGAUCAUUUAA